rnacentral:rRNA from 1 species
GACAGAGGGGGCAAGCGUUGCUCGGAAUCACUGGGCGUAAAGGGCGCGUAGGCGGGAUGGCAAGUCGGUCGUGAAAUCCUUCGGCUCAACCGAAGAACGUCGGCCGAUACUGCCGUUCUUGAGGGAUGCAGAGGAGAUUGGAAUUCCCGGUGUAGCGGUGAAAUGUGUAGAGAUCGGGAGGAACACCGGUGGCGAAGGCGGGUCUCUGGGCAUCUCCUGACGCUGAGGCGCGAAAGCGUGAGGAGCAAACGGG